GACGAACGCUGGCGGCGUGCUUAACACAUGCAAGUCGAGCGGUAAGGCCCUUUCGGGGUACGACGAGCGGCGAACGGGUGAGUAACACGUGGGUGACCUGCCUUUAGUCUCUGGGAUAAGCCUGGGAAACUGGGUCUAAUACCGGAUAUGACCCUAUGGCGCAUGUUGUGGGGUGGAAAGCCUUGUGCGGCUAGGGAUGGGCCCGCGGCCUAUCAGCUUGUUGGUGGGGUGAUGGCCUACCAAGGCGACGACGGGUAGCCGGCCUGAGAGGGCGACCGGCCACACUGGGACUGAGACACGGCCCAGACUCCUACGGGAGGCAGCAGUGGGAAGUCUUGCGCAAUGGGCGAAAGCCUGACGCAGCGACGCCGCGUGAGGGAUGACGGCCU
rnacentral:rRNA from 1 species